rnacentral:rRNA from 1 species
UGGGGAAUAUUGCACAAUGGGCGCAAGCCUGAUGCAGCCAUGCCGCGUGUGUGAAGAAGGCCUUCGGGUUGUAAAGCACUUUCAGCGGGGAGGAAGGCGUUAAGGUUAAUAACCUUGGCGAUUGACGUUACCCGCAGAAGAAGCACCGGCUAACUCCGUGCCAGCAGCCGCGGUAAUACGGAGGGUGCAAGCGUUAAUCGGAAUUACUGGGCGUAAAGCGAACGCAGGCGGUCUGUCAAGUCGGAUGUGAAAUCCCCGGGCUCAACCUGGGAACUGCAUUCGAAACUGGCAGGCUAGAGUCUUGUAGAGGGGGGUAGAAUUCCAGGUGUAGCGGUGAAAUGCGUAGGGAUCUGGAGGAAUACCGGUGGCGAAGGCGGCCCCCUAGACAAAGACUGACGCUCAGGUGCGAAAGAGUGGGGAGCAAACAGG